AAACGAAGGAAAACUUAACAGCACAAUUUUGUUACCGUUCAGUCAGCUGUUCUUUAUUAGCGGCGCCGGGAAGCGCUGGGGAUAUUUCUACUGUAAGCCCUUGGGAAGGUGACACGAUUGAGAGCCCGUUCUAUUUCCACAGUUACCUGUGAGUUAUGAAGAUAGGCCUACUUUUCACCAGGAUGCUUGUAAUCUGUGGAACUAGUAUCUGAAGCUAUGCCUCAACGAGUCCUGAACACCAAAAGAGACACCUGAACCAGCUCACAAUCCCUGAAGGAUCACACAGGAACCGUGCACUUAUCACACUGAGCCCAAAGAUAAAAAGGAAAGCAAGGAGCCUCUUCACAGUCUACUCCUUGGGCAUGGUCUUGACAGCAACUCUGACAGAAGAGAUGAGUUUUCAGGCACUGCCUGAGGAAAUCCCCUUUUAGGAUGGAAAUGCUGUGAUGGAGGACAGUUCUGUCACAGAAGUGCCCAGUACCUGUCCUUGCCUGUGGCCCCAGGACGGACAGAUGUCAUCAAGCUACAAGAGCAGCCAGGCCUUGCACCAACAUGAGGGCCCAGCAGCAGGAAGGUAGAGUGGACAGGGAGAAGCUCUGUGCAGAGAAAGUGCUGGUGGUCCCUGGCAUUGCUGAUGUGUCAGUGCUCCUUUCCCCGUCAUCACUGCAAAUUGGCAUUGCGCCGUUGUGCAGGGCCUGCCUGGGACACAGGUUGUACUCCCUACAGCAGCUGAUAGAGCGCUAUGCUCUGCACUGGUAGCUAAAACAGCACUGACAUCACACCAAUGGACUGUCUAUCGCAGAGAAAUGCUGGCAAAAGAGCAGAGCUCCCUCCAAGCCCAGCAGAGCCAGCAAACAUUGGGGAGACAAGAACUGGGGAAAAGGAAAUCGCAAAGGCAAUUGACCUAAAAACACUAAAGUGAUAUUCUGUACCAUAUGACAUCAUGCUCAGGGAUAAAAACAGAGAAAGGGGUAGGAUAUGGGGCUCACAUGAUGAAAAGAAAUGUCUUGGAACACUGGGGCAUCCGGUGAAUAUUGACAGGGGACUGCUUAGUGCAUACAGUAGCUCCAGAGUAGGUUGGUGGGCCAAGGGAAGGAAGAUGAGAAGCAGAGUAAACCAGAGAGACUGAGAUCAGAGUGAAAAUGGAGACUAACAACGUGUGGGCAAUCCACAGAAAACCUGGGCUGGGAGCCUGCGGUGGGCAUGGCAGAUCAUGGCACGGCCCCUUGCAGACACACAUGGCCUAUUUGAAGGCAAAGUGAAAGGAGAAAAUAGGGACAGCAAAGAAAAAAAAAGAGUGAAUAGAAAAAAAAAACAACCAAUAAAAAAUAAGAAAACAAAUAAAAGGCAAAAUACACAAAAACUCAGUAGUGACUACAACACAGCAUAAAGGAACCAUGCCCACAAACAUGAAAGCUGAGGCCUCCUGCACCCAGCUCGACCCAAUGGGACCAGAGGGAAACAAACAAACAACAAAAAAAUACAG
ensembl:lncRNA